AAGACAGGGUUUUCUUUUUUUCAACAAGUGCAAAAGUGUUGCUGAUAAUAAACUUCAAAAUUUACAUUAGCCUGAUAUAUGAAACACAGCUGCAACAAGCAUAUCUUUCCUCAAUUCCGAAAUGCACCUCUCCUAUAUACACUACUCCUCAAAGAAGCAGGACCUUGCCGCGUGGCAUCACCUGUGUGGAUACAAAACAAGGAAAACCUAGGACGAGUAGCACUCUCCACAACAUCACAUUAAUUCUACAGCAACCCAAACGACAAGCUCGGAUAUAUACUGCAAUAAAUAAUACAAGACACCGACAAAGCUCCACCCAUCAGUAUUCCCGCCCGGAGCCCUCCCUCCACAAGAUCAAAUACAGCCUUCCGUCCAUCUCUAGCGCAUACGAGAUUUCGUUGCCGUCCUAACCAUCAUCAAAUUAGCCCCCUCCCUGUCCCUGGGCAGAGACAACAAGAUUAAUCAAUGUGACAACAUUCCUCAAUCUCUAAAAAUUACCGAUAGGAAAAUGACCUGCACAGGAACACUUUGCACUGCAUUUUAUAGCAAAAUCACUGACAGCUCCAUGCAGCUAAACCUCCAGAAACCCAAACAGUUCUGUCUCUCUCAGUGCACAGGCAAG
rnacentral:lncRNA from 1 species